rnacentral:lncRNA from 1 species
CAGGGGUAAGACACCGUGCCUGGCCACUAAUAAUAAUAAUUUAAAAAUUUCUGAAAAUGAUUCUGCAUCUGCCAAAUGUGCUGCAUGAAUUCUCAGCAUAACUCAGUGACACAGUUUAAUCCCCAUUUUCCAGAUGCGAAAAUUGAGAUUCAGAGCAGUGUAAUGAACCGAGCUCACACCGCUGGUAGGUGGAGCAGGUGUGCGUGUUUUGUGCUCAUGUAGGGGGUUGGGGAGUGUUCCAGCCAGCCUCUGUGCACCUGGGGUGGGGGUGGAAUGAGGAGGGGGUUGUUGUGAGCCUGAGGGUCGCACUGUCUGUGGUUCUCUCCUUCCUGUCAGCUGAGCCCAGCUCCAGACUCAAGAGGAACGGCUGGGGUGAUACCAUCUCCUGGUUUCUGCGGGGGUGUAUGUGAGUUCCCUCCCCCUGCCCCCAGCUGUGGGACUGUCCCUUCUCACAGCCACCACCAACUGACUUCCCCACAGCCUCCAGAUGAGCAAAAAGGUAAAACUCCGGCAUUUUCCACAUCCUCAGCAUCCUCCACCUCCUCAGCUGUUCGCACCCGUGCUGGGAUGCAGCGAAUAGCGUGAGUCAAGAGAAUCCCCUCACUCAGACACCCAGGUUCGGGUCCCAACUUUGUCGCCGUGUGACCUUGGGCAAAUGACCUCACCUCUGAGCCUCAACGUCUUCUUCUGCAAAAUGGGUUAGUGAUCCUGACUAUGGGGCUGUUGAUUCAGGAUUCGGCGGGAACGCCCAGCACUUCCUGAGUACACAAGAGUGCUGAGAAAAUGG